CAAUAGCGUAUAUUUAAGUUGUUGCAGUUAAAAAGCUCGUAGUUGGAUUUCGGGUGGGAAUGGCCGGUCCGCCGUUUCGGUGUGCACUUGCUACGCCCACCUUGCUGCCGGGGACGUGCUCUUGAGUUCACGCUCGGGACACGGAGUCGGCGAGGUUACUUUGAGUAAAUUAGAGUGUUCAAAGCAGGCCUACGCUCUGAAUACAUUAGCAUGGAAUAACACGAUAGGACUCUGGCCUAUCUUGUUGGUCUGUAGGACCGGAGUAAUGAUUAAGAGGGACAGUCGGGGGCAUUCGUAUUUCAUUGUCAGAGGUGGAAUUCUUGGAUUUAUGAAAGACGAACUACUGCGAAAGCAUUUGCCAAGGAUGUUUUCAUUAA
rnacentral:rRNA from 1 species